GAUUAAAUAUAAGAGGUCCAGCCUGCCCAGUGACAUAGUUAAACGGCCGCGGUACCCUGACCGUGCGAAGGUAGCAUAAUCACUUGUUCCUUAAAUAGGGACUUGUAUGAACGGCAUCACGAGGGCUUUACUGUCUCCUUUCUCCAAUCAGUGAAACUGAUCUCCCCGUGAAGAAGCGGGGAUGAUAAUAUAAGACGAGAAGACCCCAUGGAGCUUUAAACCCAACGACACCCCUCAACUCCCCAACCCAUUUUAGUUGCUACAGUCCUGUUCGUUGGUUUUAGGUUGGGGUGACCGCGGAGUAUAGAUUAACCUCCACGACGAAUGGGAUUACCCCCUUACCCAAGAGCUACUCCUCUAAGGAUCAAUAAAUUGACGUAAAAUGAUCCAAGCAUUUGAUCAACGGACCAAGUUACCCUGGGGAUAACAGCGCAAUCCAUUUCAAGAGCCCCUAUCGACAAAUGGGUUUACGACCUCGAUGUUGGAUCAGGGUACCCAAGUGGUGCAGCCGCUACUAAUGGUUUGUUUGUUCAACAAUUAAAACCCUACGUGAUCUGAGU
rnacentral:rRNA from 1 species